UCGUAUAUUGUUAAUAAUGAUGAUAUUCCCAACGGCCUCAUCUUUUUCCUCUGUCAUUAUUCCUUUGCAUUUCCUGCAUUUUGUUAUCCACUACCCACUUCUAGACGCCGACAGUAACGUUAAUAUUGCUGUCGCUUAGCAGCGGCGUUUGCUGUGUGGGCGGAGUCGGCUAGCUGCAGAUUCUGCUCGUGGUUCUAACAGGAAAGCCUUAUAUGGCUUGCAAUUCGCUAACGACAUCACCAGAGUAGGAAAAGCUGCGCAGCCCAUUUCCGGACAAAUGGAGCAGGAGAAAAAGAGAGAGGAUGGUCUUUUAUGAUACUAUGGUGGCCUGUAGACACACUGGGGACAGAUAUUGAUGUUUAAAAGACAUGGAAAAGUGCAUUUUGCAUAAUAGGUGACCUUUAACCACUUGAACGCUGAGCGUAUUGUUUACUCAACAUUAUGGUUCCUUCAAAUGAAACUCGUGAGCUCGUGUUUACAACGCGGGAAGUCGUGCACACAACAUGCUCGACGUUCAAAUGGUUCUUUUGUGAGA